UCGGGUCGGCGGGGAGCUCGGCGAGGAACUCCUUCGACGGGUUCGUCCAGCCGCUUCCCGGUGGGUUCCGCCGGGUCGAGACCGGCGGCUCCGGC
rnacentral:tRNA from 1 species